GGAUGGAUGUCUGAGCGGUUGAAAGAGUCGGUCUUGAAAACCGAAGUUAGUAAAUUGAUCAUUGGAAGAAGGUCCCCAAACAAAUUCAUCUU
rnacentral:sRNA from 1 species